UCGUGAGAAGCCAGGAGGGGACUCCUUCCCUCACAAAACCCUAAAUCACUAAAUUCCCUCAAUUGAGAGCUAGAUUAUUGAAGAAAUCGAAUGCAUGACCCAAAUAUCUUGAUUAUCUAAGUGUUCUUGAUCUCAAGCACAACGAAGGAAGAAGGCGCAAGUCACUCAAAGGCACAAGCAUCACAAGAUCGCGGUAAAUCCAUUGCUUGAUGCGGCGCACUCGGACCGAACACACACACGUUAUGUCAAUCUUAUGCGCUUCCGGUCCAAGUUGUUGUUGUUUUGAUGGGUUAACUUACCUUUUUGUCUAGUAAAAUGUUAAUUAGUAAGUGUCUAGUGUUAGUAAGAAGUUUGAAUACUAAUUUUUUGUGUAGUUUGUACAAAGUGUUCAUGGUGAACCUUAUAUGGUCUUAACCUUUGCUUUGUUGGGAA